GUCGACUCAAAAGGAUGAACCGAAGAUCUGCAGUAAACGAUUAUGAGAAUGAUGGUGUCAGUGUAAACACAUAUGCAGGUCUUGACCUCCAGUCCAGAUCACCUGACGUGUACAACACACUCACUACUGUCCAUCCCAGCCCUGCUGUUCACCAGACGAGCUCUUCUGAAUAUGAGAAUCUGUCAGCAAAUGGGAGAUCAGCAGUAGAUCUUCAUCAGUCUACAGAGUCUAAAUGACCUUUAGAAGACAUUUCGCCAACAGUACACAAAAUAUCUUCUGAUAAAUGUGUUUCUCUUGUCUUAUUUCUCUUAUAGACAUGCUCAGGUGAAGCAUAUCUCUUCACCAAUGUUUUUCAUAGCUUUGGUUAAUGAAAUGAAUGUAUUAUUAUGUGUGCACUGGCUGUGUGAUGUGUAAAUCAGUGUAAUAAAAAACACGUUUUUCUCUGUAAACCUAAAAUCACUGAUCUGCACCAUAAAUACAUCAGUCAAACCUACUAAGAUAGUAAGUUAAACUUAACCGAUGAACUUAUUAGAAUAAG